rnacentral:rRNA from 1 species
AACGUAGGAGACAAACGUUAUCCGGAGUUACUGGGCGUAAAGGGCGUGUAGGUGGUUGCGUAAGUCUGGCGUGAAAUUUUUCGGCUUAACCGGGAGAGGUCGUUGGAUACUGGCAGACUAGAGGACGGUAGAGGCGUGUGGAAUUCCGGGUGUAGUGGUGAAAUGCGUAGAGAUCCGGAGGAACACCAGUGGCGAAGGCGACACGCUGGGCCGUACCUGACGCUAAAGCGCGACAGCAUGGGGAGCAAACGGG